UAGCUGUCGGGGGCCAUAGGCCUUCGGUGGCGCAGCUAACGCAUUAAGUUAUCCGCCUGGGGAGUACGGCCGCCAAGGUUAAAACUCAAAGAAAUUGACGGGGGCCUGCACAAGCCGGUGGAGCAUGUGGUUUAAUUCGAAGCAACGCGCAGAACCUUACCAGCGUUUGACAUCCUCAUCGCGGAUUCCAGAGAUGGAUUCCUUCAGUUCGGCUGGAUGAGUGACAGGUGCUGCAUGGCUGUCGUCAGCUCGUGUCGUGAGAUGUUGGGUUAAGUCCCGCAACGAGCGCAACCCUCGUCCUUAGUUGCUACCAUUUAGUUGGGCACUCUAAGGAAACCGCCGGUGAUAAGCCCGGAGGAAGGUGGGGAUGACGUCAAGUCCUCAUGGCCCUUACGCGCUGGGCUACACACGUGCUACAAUGGCGGUGANCAGAGGGCUGCAAACCCGCGAGGGUGAGCUAAUCUCCAAAAGCCGUCUCAGUUCGGAUUGUUCUCUGCAACUCGAGAGCAUGAAGGCGGAAUCGCUAGUAAUCGCGGAUCAGCACGCCGCGGUGAAUACGUUCCCAGGCCUUGUACACACCGCCCGUCACACCAUGGGAGUUGGAUUGACCCGAAGGCGCUGAGCUAACCCGCAAGGGAGGCAGGCGACCACGGUCGGUUCAGCGACUGGGGUGAAGUCGUAANCAAGGUACC
rnacentral:rRNA from 1 species